rnacentral:rRNA from 1 species
AACGAACGCUGGCGGCAGGCCUAACACAUGCAAGUCGAACGCCGUAGCAAUACGGAGUGGCAGACGGGUGAGUAACGCGUGGGAACAUACCCCUCGGUUCGGAAUAACUCAGGGAAACUUGAGCUAAUACCGGAUACGUCCGAUGUUUUAAUCGACCUUGGAGAAAGAUUUAUCGCCGGAGGAUUGGCCCGCGUCUGAUUAGCUUGUUGGUGAGGUAAUGGCUCACCAAGGCGACGANCAGUAGCUGGUCUGAGAGGAUGAUCAGCCACAUUGGGACUGAGACACGGCCCAAACUCCUACGGGAGGCAGCAGGUGGGGAAUAUUGGACAAUGGGCGAAAGCCUGAUCCAGCCAUGCCGCGUGAGUGAUG